GUUUUAAUGCACCAAGUAUCCGGAACUUAAUAGCACUUUUUUUCCCCAGGCAAAAAAAUAUUUUUAACAAGGUUUUAGUUUUUAAAAAAAAAAAGUGUAAUUGACUGUAUAUUACAUGGGGUUGUCUGUUGAAUGUUUAAAGCAUCUUGAGCUGCUUUACCAUUGGAAAGGUGGUAUAAGUCCUUUCUGUAGGCGAUAAAGGUCAUGGCACUUAAUGGAUGGAUAGAUAGCUUUGGCACUUAAGACGAGCGCGAGACUAAAGCCAGGCAGCCACGUAGCGCGAGCUCUGCCGAGAAUCUCCAGCUUUAGCACGGUAAACAGUGGAGGGCGGUAGUUGCAGAAGAAACUCAUUAUUCCGCACAGAACGCAUGCAAACAGCUGUAAAAGAUCCAUACGUGCUCGCUCAUAUCGCCGAGGUGAUCUCUAUUUCGAUUUGCAAACCAUAUUGAUUUCUCCGAUUAUUCUUUCACGCCCGUGGAGCUCGCGCUCUGCAACUCCGAGUGCUCGCGAUGACGGAGAGGGCGCUCGUGCUUCGGGUGAGUAGUCCAGCGGAGACCGGAGCUCGCCACAACUUCUAUUUCCCCUCCACCCCCCUUUCAUUUGCAAUUAUUUACAAAACAAUAACAAUAAUGACAUCCGUUCGUCUGUCGCGAAACGGCACAGAAAUCCUCGCACGAGGAUCUGCAAAGAAUUUUGACGAGGCAUUACCAUUGAAGCAUGCUUUGCUUAACACGCAUUUGCAGCAUCCACACACUGGUCUACUCCAUUGAUUUCUGAAGGUCAGUGAGAUCAUUAUAAAGCCACCCGCGCCUCAUUGUGCGUUCUUCAGAUGAAUGCGAUGUUUAAAUGCUAUAACUUCUCAUAAAAUCAUUCCUUGAAAACACACACAUAUAGCCCGCUUCACACACAGUUCCACAGAACUCACUCAGAUUGAAAGCUGUGGUUUCAGUGCUUUUCUGAAUCUUACAACUGCCAACUGAAGGUUCGCUAUACAUUCUGACUAUAUACAUUAGUAAAUAUUGGUUUCGGUUUGUCUGCCAAUUUCCUGAGCACACGCGCGUUCACACGGACUAGCGAUGAUAAACAACUGCAAAAUGUAAAGGUGCUGCCAAAUACCAAUGUAAUGUUAAUUCCACACGUUGACUGUGAAGGAGUGCUGUACGUUUGAUUGGUUGUACAGUAAAAAUCCAUAGUUCAUGGAUCAACUCUGCUUCUCUGAAAAUGAGUGUUGAUACGAAUAAUGGUUUACACCCAUCAGCCAUAACAUUUAAAACCACCUACCGAGUAUUGUAUCGGUUCCCCCUUGUGCCGCUACAACAGCUCUGACUCAUCGAGGUGUGGACUCCACAAGACCUCUGCAGGUGUGCUGUGGUAUCUGGCACCAAGAUUUUAGCAGCAGAUUCUUUAAGUCCUGUCAGUUGCGAGGUGGGGCCUCCUUCCAUGGAUUGGACUUGUUUUGUCCAGCACAUCCCACAGAUGAUGCUCAAUCGGAUUGAGAUCCGGGGAACUUUGAGGCCAAAUCAACACCUUGAACUCUGUCAUGUUCCUCAAAACAUUCCUGAACAGUUUUUGUAGUGUGCCAGAACGCAUUAUCCUGCUGAAAGAGGCCAUUAGGGAAUGCCGUUGCAACUAAGGGGUGCACUUGGUCUGCGAUAAUGUUUAGGUAGGUGGUACGUGUCAUAGUAACAUCUACAUGAACGCCAGGGGCCCAAGGUUUCGCAGCAGAACAUUGCCCAAGGCAUCACACUGCCUUGGUGCCAUCUCUUCCCCCUGGUAAGUAAUGCACAGAUCUAAAAGAAAACGAGAUUCAUCAGACCAGGCCACCUUCUUCUGUUGCUCAAUGGUUCGAAUCUAAUGCUCACGUGGCCGUUGUAGUUGUAGGUUCUUUUGGAGGUGGAUAAGGUCAGCAUGGGGUACUCUGACCAGUCUUGGCUACAUAGCCCCAUAUGGAGCAAGCUGCGAUGCACUCUGUUUUGACACCUUUCUGUCAUUAACAUUCUCAGCAAUUUGUGCUACAGUAGUUUUUCUGUGGGAUCGGACCCCUGUCACCGGUUCACCAGUUAUCCUAACUCGGAACACUUUUGGUAGGUACUACCACUGCAUACCGUGAACACCCCACAAGACCUGUUGUUUUGGAGUUGCUCUGACCCAGUCGUCUAGUCAUCACAGUUUGGCCCUUAAUCGCUCAGAUCCUUAUGCUUGCCCAUUUUUCCUGCUUCCAACACAUCCACUCCAAGAACUGAUGGUUGAGUUGCUGCAUAAUAUAUCUAAUAUAUGAUAUACAUCAUUUGACUGGCACCAUUGUAACUACAUAAUCAAUGUUAUUCACUUCACCUAUCAGACUUUUUAUGCUAUGGCUGAUUAGUGUAUGUCCAAGCAGUAUUAUUGGUUGAAUAUUAAUGAUGAACUCCACCCUAAAAAUGUUCAUAUUGAAGUAUUUGUGAUGUGCUUACAAGUCUGGUGUUAAUUUGUUGAUUUUCAACGAUAUCAGAAAAACAGAUAUUGGUUAAGUUUCGCUGUUCGUU
ensembl:lncRNA